rnacentral:rRNA from 1 species
ACKGCUCAGUAACACGUGGCUAACCUGCCCUCGGGACGAGAACAUCCCCGGGAAACUGGGGUCAAUUCUCGAUAGGUGAAGAUUCCUGGAAUGGGUCUUCGCCCGAAAGGACGUUUAGAUCAUGCUUCUAGACGUUGCCCGAGGAUGGGGCCGCGGCCGAUCAGGCUGUUGGUGAGGUAAAGGCUCACCAAACCUUUGACCGGUUCGGGCCGUGGGAGCGGUAGCCCGGAGAUGGGCACUGAGACAAGGGCCCAGGCCCUACGGGGCGCAGCAGUCGCGAAAACUUCGCAAUAAGCGAAAGCUUGACGGGGCCAUCCCGAGUGCCAUCUGCUGAGGAUGGCUUUUACCCAGUAUAGAUAGCUGGGGGAAUAAGGAGAGGGCAAGUCUGGUGUCAGCCGCCGCGGUAAUAUCAGCUCGCCGAGUGGUAGGGAUGAUUAUUGGGCCUAAAGCGUCCGUAGCCGGCCUCUCAAGUCUCUCGUUAAAUCCAGCGAUUCAAUCGUUGGACUGCGGGAGAUACUGUGAGGCUAGGGGGCGGGAGAAGCCGACGGUAUUUCCGGGGUAGGGGUAAAAUCCUAUAAUCCCGGGAAGACCACCAGUGGCGAAGGCGGUCGGCUAGCACGCGCUCGACGGUGAGGGACGAAAGCUGGGGGAGCGAACCGGAUUAGAUACCCGGGUAGUCCCAGCUGUAAACGAUGCGGGCUAGGUGUUGGAGCGGCUACGAGCCGCUUCAGUGCCGCAGGGAAGCCAUUAAGCCCGCCGCCUGGGGAGUACGGCCGCAAGGCUGAAACUUAAAGGAAUUGGCGGGGGAGCAC